GACAAUGGAGGCAACUCUGAUCCAGCCAUGCCGCGUGCAGGAUGACGGCCCUAUGGGUUGUAAACUGCUUUUAUACAGGAAGAAACACCUCUACGUGUAGAGGCUUGACGGUACUGUAAGAAUAAGGAUCGGCUAACUCCGUGCCAGCAGCCGCGGUAAUACGGAGGAAGCGUUAUCCGGAAUCAUUGGGUUUAAAGGGUCCGUAGGUGGAUAAUUAAGUCAGAGGUGAAAUCUUGCAGCUCAACUGUAAAAUUGCCUUUGAAACUGGUUAUCUUGAGUUAUUAUGAAGUAGUUAGAAUAUGUAGUGUAGCGGUGAAAUGCAUAGAUAUUACAUAGAAUACCAAUUGCGAAGGCAGAUUACUAAUAAUCAACUGACACUGAUGGACGAAAGCGUGGGUAGCGAACAGGAUUAGAUACCCUGGUAGUCCACGCCGUAAACGAUGGAUACUAGCUGUUCGACCAAGAUUGGUUGGUUGAGUGGCUAAGCGAAAGUGAUAAGUAUCCCACCUGGGGAGUACGGUCGCAAGACUGAAACUCAAAGGAAUUGACGGGGGCCCGCACAAGCGGUGGAGCAUGUGGUUUAAUUCGAUGAUACGCGAGGAACCUUACC
rnacentral:rRNA from 1 species